AACCAGCACCUCAAGUGGUCAGGAGGAUUAUUGGGCCUAAAGCAUCCGUAGCCUGUUCUAUAAGUUUGCGGUUAAAUCUAUACGCUCAACGUAUAGGCUGCCGUAAAUACUGUAGAACUAGGGAGUGGGAGAGGUAGACGGUACUCGAUAGGAAGGGGUAAAAUCCCUUGAUCUAUUGAUGACCACCUGUGGCGAAGGCUCCACACUAGAACGGAUCCGACGGUCAGGGACGAAGCCUAGGGGCACGAACCGG
rnacentral:rRNA from 1 species